rnacentral:ribozyme from 1 species
ACGCAUUCAUAAAAUUUAUUGGGAAAGAUGGAAGGAAAGAAAUAAUGGAAGAAAGAAAAAGAGAAAGGAAAACCAUGAACAAUCCAGCAAUUCCUUUCCCUUCUUUCUUUAGUUUUGUCUUUUUUUCUUGAACAUCAUAAUCUUUUCACUAGCACUGCAACCAAAGAAUAACUGAGUGGGAAGUUGCCAGAUAGGAAUCUAGAGAUAAGAAUUCA